UUAAUACUCCCUCCAUCCCAAAAUUUUUGACUUAGAUUUGUCUAUAUAUAAAUGCAUCUAAUCACGUUUUAGUAUUUAGAUUCUUCCGUUCCUAAACAAAGCUAAGGCAAAAAAUUUGAAACGGAAAGAGUAUUAG
rfam:Hordeum vulgare subsp. vulgare, WGS project CAJW01000000 data, contig: morex_contig_159243